UAAAAAAAUCCAUGUUUACCCGAGAAGUGAGCGUUCCGAGUCGAAAUAUCUCGCACGUAGUGUUGCCGCUUUUCCGCGUGCGUGAUUGGCCGGUCGAAGCCGGGUGAUCGAGAUCGCGGCGAGUUCCGCGAAUUUCGUGCGUGUGCGUCGUGAUCAAUCGUAUUGUGACAGUUCGCGUCGUGUCGUUAGGAGGUUAAUAUUAUUAUUAAUGUGAUCUCUCAUCAUUAAAUACGAUUGUUUAAUUCCGAAUUUCGGUCGCGUCACGCAAGGAUCGAAGUGACGACGGCGAUCGAGAUCGCGGCGAGUUUGGCGAGUUUCGCGCGUGUAUCGCGUGAUGUGACGUGUGUUCGCGUGGUGUGUUUGCGAGAUAUACCGAUAAAUUUAAUGUUCGAGAAGAUCUGAUGGGAUUAGCUGUUGGUGCUCAUGGCACAAAUAUUCAACAAGCGUGAAAAGUUGAUGACAUUACAAAUAUAGUUAGAAGAAAAUUCAUGCACAUUUAAGAUAUAUAGAGAGACGCAUGAAGCUGUUAAGAAAGACCGAUCUAUGCUGGAAUACAACGGUAACCUAAAAAUAGAUAGUGACAGUGGCAGAGUCGUGACCAUCGCUGCGUGAUAGAUGAUAGUGAUAGUGAAAUAUAUAUUGACGGCAGGGAGCUGAUGCCGAGGAGACCUUUCAGAAGGAAGGUGUAUCCAAAAUCGCACACGUACGUAUAUAUGUUGUUUUGUAAAAGUUGUAAAAGUUAAGAGAACGAGAAAGUGAUCUGUAUUUAUAUGCACGUGUGACAGGCACUAUCGGGUAAUAAAGAUUUCUCCGAAGAAUGUUUAUAUUGUACUUUACUUUCGUUAACUUGAAUGCUUUGAAUGUACAAUCUCGCGUCUUCAAAAUAUAAUAAUUCUCAGACACUGUUGAGGAAUAAUUGUCUAGCACAAAAGGUCCUUUUGUGCUAGAUAAUACGAGUUGCUACAGAGUGCCUCUAAUUAUAAGAAUCUCUUCUCCUUUACCCCCUCUUUCUUUUCCCAAUCCCGAAUUAACACUAUUGCAUGGUUCGUAUCGCGUGUCAUUACCUACUAUAAAUGUCCUCCUUUUCUCUCGUUUUCUCACGCAGGAACAUUUUAUAUUCAACUAUAUAGUACACAAUUUUGCCGCUAUAUAUUGACCGCAGGGAGCUGAUACCGAAGAGAUCUUUAAGAAGGAAGGUGUAGCCAAAAUUGCACAUGUAUGGGACUUAUAAGUUAUGCGAAGGAAUUGAUACUAUUAAGAUUCAUUGGUUAUAUGAAGUUUGCACACGUCAAGCUUGACAUCCUUAAGAUCACAAUGCAUUCUGAAAACGAUACCGUGCAGGUUCGUUGGCGUAUACGUGGUGUCACAGGCUGGAAGGUAUUUUCUAUGUUUUGGAAGU